rnacentral:rRNA from 1 species
AUGGACGCAAGUCUGAUGGAGCAACGCCGCGUGAGUGAAGAAGGGUUUCGGCUCGUAAAGCUCUGUUGGUAGUGAAGAAAGAUAGAGGCAGUAACUGGCCUUUAUUUGACGGUAAUUACUUAGAAAGUCACGGCUAACUACGUGCCAGCAGCCGCGGUAAUACGUAGGUGGCAAGCGUUGUCCGGAUUUAUUGGGCGUAAAGCGAGUGCAGGCGGUUCAAUAAGUCUGAUGUGAAAGCCUUCGGCUCAACCGGAGAAUUGCAUCAGAAACUGUUGAACUUGAGUGCAGAAGAGGAGAGUGGAACUCCAUGUGUAGCGGUGGAAUGCGUAGAUAUAUGGAAGAACACCAGUGGCGAAGGCGGCUCUCUGGUCUGCAACUGACGCUGAGGCUCGAAAGCAUGGGUAGCGAACAGGAUUAGAUACCCUGGUAGUCCAUGCCGUAAACGAUGAGUGCUAAGUGUUGGGAGGUUUCCGCCUCUCAGUGCUGCAGCUAACGCAUUAAGCACUCCGCCUGGGGAGUACGACCGCAAGGUUGAAACUCAAAGGAAUUGACGGGGGCCCGCACAAGCGGUGGAGCAUGUGGUUUAAUUCGAAGCAACGCGAAGAACCUUACCAGGUCUUGACAUCCAGUGCAA